GAUGAACGCUGGCGGCGUGCCUAAUACAUGCAAGUCGAGCGAAUGGAUUAAGAGCUUGCUCUUAUGAAGUUAGCGGCGGACGGGUGAGUAACACGUGGGUAACCUACCCAUAAGACUGGGAUAACUCCGGGAAACCGGGGCUAAUACCGGAUAAUAUUUUGAACUGCAUGGUUCAAAAUUGAAAGGCGGCUUCGGCUGUCACUUAUGGAUGGACCCGCGUCGCAUUAGCUAGUUGGUGAGGUAACGGCUCACCAAGGCAACGAUGCGUAGCCGACCUGAGAGGGUGAUGGGCCACACUGGGACUGAGACACGGCCCAGACUCCUACGGGAGGCAGCAGUAGGGAAUCUUUCGCAAUGGACGAAAGUCUGACGGAGCAACGCCGCGUGAGUGAUGAAGGCUUUCGGGUCGUAAAACUCUGUUGUUAGGGAAGAACAAGUGCUAGUUGAAUAAGCUGGCACCUUGACGGUACCUAACCAGAAAGCCACGGCUAACUACGUGCCAGCCGCCGCAGUAA
rnacentral:rRNA from 1 species